UACGUAGGGGGCGAGCGUUGUCCGGAUUUAUUGGGCGUAAAGAGCUCGUAGGCGGUCUGUCGCGUCGGCUGUGAAAACCUGGGGCUCAACUCCGGGCCUGCAGCCGAUACGGGCAGACUAGAAUUCGGUAGGGGAGACUGGAAUUCCUGGUGUAGCGGUGAAAUGCGCAGAUAUCAGGAGGAACACCGGUGGCGAAGGCGGGUCUCUGGGCCGAUAUUGACGCUGAGGAGCGAAAGCGUGGGGAGCGAACAGG
rnacentral:rRNA from 1 species